rnacentral:rRNA from 1 species
CUUCGGGGUGAGUGGCAGACGGGUGAGUAACGCGUGGGAACGUGCCCUUCAGUUCGGAAUAACCCAGGGAAACUUGGGCUAAUACCGGAUACGUGCGAGAGCAGAAAGAUUUAUCGCUGAAGGAUCGGCCCGCGUCUGAUUAGCUAGUUGGUGAGGUAAUGGCUCACCAAGGCGACGAUCAGUAGCUGGUCUGAGAGGAUGAUCAGCCACAUUGGGACUGAGACACGGCCCAAACUCCUACGGGAGGCAGCAGUGGGGAAUAUUGGACAAUGGGCGCAAGCCUGAUCCAGCCAUGCCGCGUGAGUGAUGAAGGCCUUAGGGUUGUAAAGCUCUUUCGGCGGGGACGAUAAUGACGGUACCCGCAGAAGAAGCCCCGGCUAACUUCGUGCCAGCAGCCGCGGUAAUACGAAGGGGGCUAGCGUUGUUCGGAAUCACUGGGCGUAAAGGGCGCGUAGGCGGCUUUAUAAGUCGGGGGUGAAAGCCUGUGGCUCAACCACAGAAUUGCCUUCGAUACUGUAUGGCUUGAGACCGGAAGAGGUAAGUGGAACUGCGAGUGUAGAGGUGAAAUUCGUAGAUAUUCGCAAGAACACCAGUGGCGAAGGCGGCUUACUGGUCCGGUUCUGACGCUGAGGCGCGAAAGCGUGGGGAGCAAACAGGAUUAGAUACCCUGGUAGUCCACGCCGUAAACGAUGAAUGCCAGCCGUUGGGCAGCUUGCUGCUCAGUGGCGCAGCU